rnacentral:rRNA from 1 species
CAGGCCUAACACAUGCAAGUCGAACGCGAAAGUCCCGCAAGGGAUUAGUAGAGUGGCAAACGGGUGAGUAACGCGUGGGUGACCUGCCUUCGAGCGGGGGAUAACGUUUCGAAAGGAACGCUAAUACCGCAUGACAUCCUGCCUUUGAACAGGCGGAGAUCAAAGCUGGGGAUCGCAAGACCUAGCACUUGAAGAGGGGCCCGCGUCUGAUUAGCUAGUUGGUGAGGUAACGGCUCACCAAGGCGACGAUCAGUAUCCGGCCUGAGAGGGCGGACGGACACACUGGGACUGAGACACGGCCCAGACUCCUACGGGAGGCAGCAGUGGGGAAUUGUUCGCAAUGGGCGCAAGCCUGACGACGCAACGCCGCGUGGAGGAUGAAGACCUUCGGGUCGUAAACUCCUUUCGAUCGAGACGAAAGACUUUCGGGUGAACAAUCCGGAAGAGUGACGGUACCGAGAGAAGAAGCCCCGGCUAACUUCGUGCCAGCAGCCGCGGUAAUACA